rnacentral:lncRNA from 1 species
UGCAAAUUAAAAGAGUACCUACUCCAGCUAGCAAUAAUAGAUGAAUUUACCCAAAUUGCAAGCUCGUCUUUACCAGUCAGUUCAGUUUAAGAUCAAAACCACUUUCAUGCUGGAGAGGAUUGCAGUCUCUCAGUUCAAUAUGAAGAAAAACAUUUAAAUACAGAUUCAUACUUAAGAGGCCAAAAGCAUUAACAUUCUUUACCUCGACUUUCUUAUUUGAUAAUAGAAUCAUCUAAAUAUGGAAAAUUGUCUCACAAAGAGAAAAACAUCUCACCUCUGCCAACAACUACCUCAUUUGCCUGUGUUAUAUCAGAAAUGGGCAAGGAUUUCCGAUACAGCAAGCCUCUGCAGCUUCCAUGAACUUAUGACUGUCAAAUAUGGGAAUUUAUGAAGUGAUAAACAGUGUAACUGAGAUCUGAAGACGAACAUUUAAAGACGGAUUAAUGUAUAUGCUAUGCUUAAGAGACCAAGAGUAUUAGCAUUCUUUUUCUCGAUAUGAUUAUUUGAUAAUAGUUCAUCAAGAUAACCUACACUAAUGGAAAAUUGACUCACAAAGAGAGACAUUUUAAUUUUCACCCUUGUCAAUAACUACAGUUGCCUAAGUUAUAGUAGACAUCACAAGGAUUUCCUUUGAUGCAGC